rnacentral:rRNA from 1 species
AGUGAACGCUGGCGGCGUGCCUAACACAUGCAAGUCGAACGAUGAUGGAUGAGCUUGCUCAUCCUGAUUAGUGGCGCACGGGUGAGUAUACCAUGGAUAAUGUACCCCUUAGUUCGGGAUAGCCACUGGAAACGGUGAUUAAUACCGGAUACUCCUUCUUGCCAUAAGGUAAGUCGGGAAAGUUUUUUCGCUAAGGGAUCAGUCUAUGUCCUAUCAGGUAGUUGGUGAGGUAACGGCUCACCAAGCCUAUGACGGGUAUCUGGUUUGAGAGGAUGAUCAGACACACUGGAACUGAGACACGGUCCAGACUCCUACGGGAGGCAGUAGUGAGGAAUAUUGCACAAUGGAGGAAACUCUGAUGCAGCAACGCCGCGUGGAGGAUGACGCAUUUCGGUGUGUAAACUCCUUUUAAGAGGGAAGAUUAUGACGGUACCUCUUGAAUAAGCACCGGCUAACUCCGUGCCAGCCGCCGCAGUAA